rnacentral:tRNA from 1 species
CAAAUUAGAGCUUGAAAAUAAGUAUUUCAUUUACAUUGAAAAGAAAUUAAAAAUUAAUUAAUUAAUUUGA